GAUCAAGCAUGACAAGAGCAUUUGGUGGAUGCCUUGGCACUGAGAGGCGAUGAAGGACGUAGCACGCUGCGAUAAGUUUGGGGGAGUUGCGAGCAGACUUUGAUCCCAAAAUGUCCGAAUGGGGGAACCCACACCGCAAGGUGUAUCUCCUGCUGAAUUCAUAGGCAGGCGAAGCAAACCCGGAGAACUGAAACAUCUCAGUACCCGGAGGAAAGGAAAUCAACCGAGACUCCGCUAGUAGUGGCGAGCGAACGCGGACCAGGCCAGUAAUUAUGUCUAACAAACCAGAACGCCUUGGAAAGGGCGACCAUAGAGGGUGACAGUCCCGUAUGGGCAGAUGUUGGAUGUAAUUCUUGAGUAAGGCGGGACACGUGCAAUCCUGUCUGAAUAUGGGGGGCCCACCCUCCAAGCCUAAGUACUCCUCAGUGACCGAUAGUGAACUAGUACCGUGAGGGAAAGGUGAAAAGAACCCUAAUGCAGGGAGUGAAAGAGUACCUGAAACCGAAUGCUUACAAACAGUCCGAGCGCGCAAGCGUGAGGGCGUACCUUUUGUAUAAUGGGUCAGCGAGUUAGUCUAUGCAGCAAGCCUAAGCCGAUAGGUGGAAGCGAAGCGAAAGCGAGUCUGAAUAGGGCGCCUUAGUUGCAUGGAUUAGACCCGAAACCUAGUGAUCUAGCCAUGGCCAGGUUGAAGGCAGGGUAACACCUGCUGGAGGACCGAACACACGCCUGUUGAAAAAGUCGGUGAUGAGCUGUGGUUAGGGGUGAAAGGCCAAUCAAACUAGGAAAUAGCUGGUUCUCCGCGAAAUCUAUUUAGGUAGAGCCUUGGAUGAUUACCUUGGGGGGUAGAGCACUGGAUGAGCUAGGGGGGCGCGAGCCUUACCAAACUUAACCAAACUCCGAAUACCCAAGAGUACAGUCCAGGAGGCAGUCCAUGGGUGCUAAGGUCCGUGGACGAGAGGGAAAGAGCCCAGACCAUCCGCUAAGGUCCCCAAGUGGUGACUAAGUUGGAAAGGAUGUGGGAAGGCCAAGACAGCCAGGAGGUUGGCUUAGAAGCAGCCAUCCUUUAAAGAAAGCGUAAUAGCUCACUGGUCUAGUUAAGCCGGCCUGCGCCGAAAAUGUAACGGGGAUUAAGUCAUCCACCGAAGCGAUGGGUGUGUAGCAAUACACGCGGUAGCGGAGCGUUCCGUAAGCCUGUGAAGCAUGACUCGGAAGAGCAUGUGGAGGUAUCGGAAGUGAGAAUGCUGACAUGAGUAACGACAAACAAUGUGAGAAACAUUGUCGCCGUAAGUCCAAGGGUUCCUGCGCAAGGUUAAUCCACGCAGGGUGAGCCGACUCCUAAGGUGAGGCCGAAAGGCGUAGCCGAUGGCAACACGGUUAAUAUUCCGUGGCCUGUUGGUAGUGACGAAGUUGAAAGAAUGUCCGAGAUUAUUGGAUUUCGAGGGCGUUCGAUCAGCUUCCAGGAAAUAGCUCCAACGUUAUAGGUCGUACCCUAAACCGACACAGGUGGACGAGUUGAGUAUACUCAGGCGCUUGAGAGAAGGAUGUUGAAGGAACUCGGCAAAUUACCCUCGUAACUUCGGGAUAAGAGGGCCUGUCUUAUGGGCAACCACUAGACAGGGGCACAGAAUUGGGGGUGGCGACUGUUUAUCAAAAACACAGGACUCUGCGAAGUCUCACAUGACGACGUAUAGGGUCUGACGCCUGCCCGGUGCUGGAAGGUUAAGGAGAGGGGUGCAAGCUCUGAACCGAAGCCCCAGUAAACGGCGGCCGUAACUAUAACGGUCCUAAGGUAGCGAAACUCCUUGUCGGGUAAGUUCCGACCUGCAUGAAUGGCGUAACGAUCUCCCCACUGUCUCCAACAUCUACUCAGUGAAAUUGAAUUCCCCGUGAAGAUGCGGGGUUCCCGCGGUUAGACGGAAAGACCCUAUGAACCUUUACUAUAGCUUUGCAGUGGUAUUAGAGAUUGCAUGUGUAGCAUAGGUGGGACUCUUUGAAGCUUGGGCGCCAGCCCGGGUGGAGAGGUCAGUGAAAUACCACCCUUGUAAUCUUUGAUAUCUAACUCAGUCCGGUGAAUCACGGACGAGGACCCUGCAUGGUGGGUAGUUUGACUGGGGCGGUCGCCUCCCAAAUCGUAACGGAGGCGCGCGAUGGUUAGCUCAAGCUGGUCGGAAAUCAGCUGUUGAGUGCAAUGGCACAAGCUAGCCUGACUGCAAGACGUACAUGUCAAGCAGAGACGAAAGUCGGUCAUAGUGAUCCGGUGGUUCUUCGUGGAAGGGCCAUCGCUCAACGGAUAAAAGGUACUCUAGGGAUAACAGGCUGAUGACGCCCAAGCGUCCAUAGCGACGGCGUCGUUUGGCACCUCGAUGUCGGCUCAUCACAUCCUGGGGCUGGAGAAGGUCCCAAGGGUUCGGCUGUUCGCCGAUUAAAGUGGUACGUGAGCUGGGUUCAAAACGUCGUGAGACAGUUUGGUCCCUAUCUGCCGUGGGUGUAGGAAUAUUGAAAGGAGCUGUCCCUAGUACGAGAGGACCGGGAUGGACGUAUCUCUGGUGGAUCGGUUGUCGCGCCAGCGGCAUAGCCGAGUAGCUAAGUACGGACGAGAUAAACGCUGAAAGCAUCUAAGCGUGAAACUUACCUUGAAACAAGUAUUCCCCGAGAGUCGUGGUAGACCACCACGUUGAUAGGCCGGAUGUGGAAGCGCCGCGAGGCGUGCAGCUUACCGGUACUAAUAACUCAAUAGGCUUGAUCCU
rnacentral:rRNA from 1 species